CACAAUUAUGAGAGGAAACACCUGAGGUCAGAAGGAGGAGGACAAAUCCUGUAGAGGAGGAGGAGCCACACACGUUCACACCAUCACUGCUGUAACAACUGUUUACACUGUGUGUAAAAGAAAUCUUCUCUGUUAAGCUCUUGCAGAUGUGCUGCUUUAUGUGCGGCUGGUUCUGGUCGUUGUCAUCAGCAUCUUUUUAGGGUCUUUGCUGAUGAAGAGGAGAGCCAUUAAACCCAGAGGACCUCCUGUGGAAUCUGAGCGUGCUGACAUCACACAGGACAACCAGUUGUGUGAAGAGAUCAGAGAGGACGACAGACAGAGCAGCUCACCUCCUGCAGUGUCUUCAGUGUACGCUACACCAAAAGCCUCCAACCAGAUGUAGAUGAAAACGCAGACCUCUGCAGCCUCUCCACCUCUCCUCACGACAAAGUAAAACUGUGGUCUGAUUUUAAGCUCUUUGAUUUUUACUAUAUCAUCUCUUUCUGCCAGCUAACAUUAAUAAUGAGGAAUGCACAAAGUCAAUGUGGACUCUCUGGUCCCAGUUUAUUAGGUACAGCUAGUUCAAAACAGUCUAAUAAUAAAUUCUUCAGUUGUUAGAUAGUAUUAUUUUUAUAGAUUAUUACUAUUAGUGCUGCUGUUAAUUUGUUUUGCAUUAGUGUUUUAGAUAUUUUCAUUAUUUUUGUUCAUUUCUGCUUCAUCAACACACUGAGCGUAACUUUAUCAUUUAAUGUAGAGUCUGAAGUUUAACAUCUUCUUUUUCAUUUUCUUAAACUGGAAUAUUUCCCAGUUUGAAAAACUAUUCUUGCUAUUGUGAUUCUGUAGGACAGAUUCAGUGAAAGAGCUGCACAAAAUGAUGCAUAUAGGAGGGAGUAUGGAGAGUUAUUAGAUCAGCCAGCAGGUAUGCUGUUCUUGGAGGGAGGUCCUUAGACGUAGUCAUCAAAAAGGCUCCAGGUUCAGGGGCGGAUCUAGAAGGGUGGCAUGGGGUGGCAAGUGCCACCCUAAAAUGAUCUUUUGCCACCCCAGUUUUGCAUAUGACAGUGUUGUUCAUUAAAAUAAGAUAGCAUUAACACUUUAAGUGUAGUUACAGUCAACAGUGAAUAUAAAUGCUAAAACUGAAUAUAUUGCAUAGUGUUUCCCCCCCCUCCACCAUUAACAAAUGGUUAAGCCCAUAGCUCAGACUGGCUUUUUUCUUGUUUUCAGUAGCAAGUGAUGCUUAUGAUUGUGCCAGAGCACAUUUUGAAAAACACUAUGGGAAUUUCAGAUUUCACACAGGUGGUUGGUUGUUACACUCUGGAAAUGGAAUGAGGUGAGUGUUAUUAACCCUCUGUGGUCCACGGACACGCUGCACCUCCAAAUCACAUGACUGAUUUAAGCUGACACAGCAACAAGCUGCAGCCACGCUGACUCUAUUUCAGCCCAUAUUGAAAGUUCGGACUUCAAAGUUUUUAAAUUUUAAUUCCAGGCCAGUAAAUCCAGAGUUAUUGUGUGUGUGUGUGUGUGUGUGUGUGUGUGUGUGUGUCAUGCUUUUUUCUAAAUACUGUCAUCACUUUUUUGUGCGCCCUCUUGUGGUUUUUUUUUUUUUUUUUUUUUUUUUUUGGUAAAGCGUUUUCUAAGGACCAGGCGAAAACAGUACAGA
ensembl:lncRNA